ACCCCCUGGUUCCCUUUCCCCUCAGAACUUGAUCCUGAGCUUGGUGAUCAUAAAAGAAGAGGAGUACACUGACUGACCUCACCGUGAUAUCAUCAUAGGGCCAGAUUCAUACAAGC
ensembl:snoRNA Gm25612 predicted gene, 25612